UUGCGAACGGGUGAGUAACGCGUAGGUAACCUGCCUUGUAGCGGGGGAUAACUAUUGGAAACGAUAGCUAAUACCGCAUAACAAUGGAUGACCCAUGUCAUUUAUUUGAAAGGGGCAAAUGCUCCACUACAAGAUGGACCUGCGUUGUAUUAGCUAGUAGGUGAGGUAACGGCUCACCUAGGCGACGAUACAUAGCCGACCUGAGAGGGUGAUCGGCCACACUGGGACUGAGACACGGCCCAGACUCCUACGGGAGGCAGCAGUAGGGAAUCUUCGGCAAUGGGGGCAACCCUGACCGAGCAACGCCGCGUGAGUGAAGAAGGUUUUCGGAUCGUAAAGCUCUGUUGUAAGUCAAGAACGAGUGUGAGAGUGGAAAGUUCACACUGUGACGGUAGCUUACCAGAAAGGGACGGCUAACUACGUGCCAGCAGCCGCGGUAAUACGCAGGUCCCGAGCGUUGUCCGGAUUUAUUGGGCGUAAAGCGAGCGCAGGCGGUUUGAUAAGUCUGAAGUUAGAGGCUGUGGCUCAACCAUAGUUCGCUUUGGAAACUGUCAAACUUGAGUGCAGAAGGGGAGAGUGGAAUUCCAUGUGUAGCGGUGAAAUGCGUAGAUAUAUGGAGGAACACCGGUGGCGAAAGCGGC
rnacentral:rRNA from 1 species